AUUGAACGCUGGCGGCAUGCCUUACACAUGCAAGUCGAACGGCAGCAUGAUCUAGCUUGCUCGAUUGAUGGCGAGUGGCGAACGGGUGAGUAAUACAUCGGAACGUGCCCUGUAGUGGGGGAUAACUAGUCGAAAGAUUAGCUAAUACCGCAUACGACCUGAGGGUGAAAGUGGGGGACCGCAAGGCCUCAUGCUAUAGGAGCGGCCGAGGUCUGAUUAGCUAGUUGGUGAGGUAAAGGCUUACCAAGGCGACGAUCAGUAGCUGGUCUGAGAGGACGAUCGGCCACACUGGAACUGAGACACGGCCCAGACUCCUACGGGAGGCAGCAGUGGGGAAUUUUGGGCAAUGGGCGAAAGCCUGAUCCAGCAAUGCCGCGUGUGUGAAGAAGGCCUUCGGGUCGUAAAGCACUUUUGUCCGGAAAGAACUGGUUCUGGUUAAUACCUGGGGUCGAUGACGGUACCGGAAGAAUAAGGACCGGCUAACUACGUG
rnacentral:rRNA from 1 species